ACCGAGCUCGUCUGGAUCCACCAUGGCCUGGGCCCCUCUGCUCCUCACGCUGCUCACAUAUUGCUCAGGUUCGCUCGCCCAGUACGUGCUGACCCAGCCGCCUGCAGUGUCUGUGUCUCCAGGGCAAAAUGCUCAACUCACCUGCACAGGUGAAAAGAUUGAUGAAAGGUAUGUGAGCUGGUACCAGCAGAAACCUGGCCGUGCCCCCGUACUCGUCAUAUACAAGGACAGUGAGAGACCCUCCGGAAUCCCCGAUCGAUUCUCCGGGGCCAGCUCCGGUAACCCGGCCACGUUAACCAUCACUGGAGUCCAGGCGCAGGACGAGGCUGAUUAUUACUGUGAGCGGUGGGACAGUGACAGCAGCUCUGCUCACAGUGACACAGUCAGGCGGGGAAAUGUUGGGGAAGGUGCGUUUGCCACACGCUCAGAGGCAGGGGCUGUCAGCGCGCCCAGCACUAGACCCCUCCGCCUCGAGCCCACGAACACUCACCGUCUGCUGAAUAACAAAGGACGCAGUGCGAGGGCUGCCAGAAAUAAACGGGGCAUCGCACUUGGCACGACGGCUUAA